rnacentral:rRNA from 1 species
GUGAGGUACAAGCGUUGCCCGGAUUUACUGGGCGUAAAGCGUUUCGUAGGCGCCCAAUCGCAUCUUCUUUCAAAGCCCGGAGCUUAACUUCGGAAAGGGAGAAGAGAUGGAUUUGGGUUGAAAUAUUUCGGAGCUAUUGGAACUAUCGGUGUAGGGGUGAAAUCCGUUGAUAUCGAUAGGAACUCCAAGGGCGAAGGCAGAUAGCUAGGAAUCAUUUGACGCUGAGGAACGAAAGCUAGGGGAGCGAAAGGGAUUAGAGACCCCUGUAGUCCUAGCCGUAAACUAUGCUCGCUACCCCGUGGAUUCGUUCACGGGGGUAAGCUAACGCGUGAAGCGAGCCGCCUGGGGAGUACGGCCGCAAGGCUA